UAAGNUUAUCGGUGAUGGAUGGGGAUGCGUCUGAUUAGCUUGUGGCGGGUAACGGCCCACCAAGGCGACGAUCAUAGGGGGUUCUGAGAGGAAGGUCCCCCCACAUUGGAACUGAGACACGGUCCAAACUCCUACGGGAGGCAGCAGUGAGGAAUAUUGGUCAAUGGACGAGAGUCUGAACCAGCCAAGUAGCGUGCAGGAUGACGGCCCUAUGGGUUGUAAACUGCUUUUAUAAGGGAAUAAAGUGGGAGUCGUGACUCUUUUUGCAUGUACCUUAUGAAUAAGGACCGGCUAAUUCCGUG
rnacentral:rRNA from 1 species